rnacentral:lncRNA from 1 species
AAACAACUCACCUUCAAAAGUUCCUGCAAGUGGGUGAUUGAAGAGAUUGGGAGAGUCCGCCAAUGUGGCUGACUGAAGAAAGCUGCAUACUUAUGUUGGAAACAGUCUCAAGAGAGACUGAAUGGAAUUGAAAAAUCAAAGCAAAAGAAAGGAAUUUGAUAGCAUGACUAAUUCCGAUCAGCUGUUGAGAAUACCUGCUAUAUUUAGGAAACUGUCUAAAUAGACUAUAGGCAGAUGGAUACCUCAGGCUUCCAUGGCUUUUGAACUUAACCAGCCAACUCUCUUUGUUUUAAAUUACUGCUAAUUAAACAAAUGUUUGAUCACUUUAAAAAAUCUUUCCGGGAGUUCCCUUUGGUGGCUCAGUGAUUAACGAAUCUGGCUUUGCUCAGUGGGUUAAGGAUCCGUCAUUGCUAUGAGCUGUGGUGUAGGUCGCAGACGUGGCUCAGAUCCCAGGUUAGGGGUCUAAUUGGAGCUGUAGCUGCCGGCCUACAACAGGGCCACAGCAACGUGGGAUCCGAGCCAUAUCUUCGACCUACACCACAACUCACGGCAACGCCGGAUCCUAAACCCACUGAUCGAGGCCAGGGAUCAAACCCACAACUUCAAGGUUCCUAGUCAGAUUCGUUAACCACUGUACCAUGAGGGGAACUCCCUCAAACACUCUUAAAAUGAGAAGAAACUAUAUAGAAACCCCCCCAAAGCAUAUUAUAAAGUGUCAUAAAUCAGUUUCUAAUACCACCCACAACUUUUCGUGGACUUUAUUCUCUCUCUUUAUAGGCAAAAGGCUCAGCUUCACUCCAUUUUCUUGUAUGUAUUUAUGGACCAGUACUGAACCAAAGUUGGUGCUCUCCUGGGCCUUUGUAUACAUCAUGAAAACAGAGCAUUCUUUUCCUCAUCUUUUAUACCUACUUAUCUGCUGUAUUAGUUUCCUGUGGUUGCUGUAACGAUUGACCACAAACUGGGUGGCUUAAAACAUCGGAAGUGUAUUCUUUUAUAGUUGCAGAAGCUUAAAGUCUGAAAUCAGUAUCAUUGAGCUGGAAUCUGUACUCUUGUGAGGCUCUGGGGCAGUUUCCACUCAGAUGAACCCUCUUGUAUGCCUAACCUAUAAACAUGGUGAGAUCAGAAAUGUCUGUGGUUGGAAGUUCCCUUCGUGGCCCAGCAAUUAAUGAUCCUCACUAGGAUCCAUGAAGAUGUGGGUUCCAUCCCUGGCCUUGCUCAGUGGGUUAAGGAUCUGGCAUUGUUGUGACUGUGGCGUAGGCUGACAGCUGCAGCUCCAAUUCAACCCCUAGCUUGGGAACCUCCUAUGCAGCCCUAAAAAGCAAAACAAAAAAACAGAAACAAAAACAAACAAAAAAAAGUUUGUUGUUUUAAACUAUGGGGAAUAAUUUGUUAACAUAACAAUAGAUAAUUAAUGCAGGAGGUAAGGAAAUUGUAAAGAAGGAGACUUAGUGGUAUCAUUUGUCAAAAGAGGACAGAUAAGGAGUAUAUGAGGAACACGUCAGUUUGGGAAAGACCAAGUUCAAGAUGCCCCUAGGAUAUUAAGGUGGAGCUGUGUAAACAAAUUUAGAGGAGUGUUUGGAAUAGGAUAUAUUUUAGGAGUAAUGGACCUAUAGGUGAUAGAAUAUGUGAGAUAACAUCACCUAGUGUCACAGGCUAUCUUCUCUAGAAGCACUUACUGAGACCAAGUUUAAAAUAAAAGAUAUUAGGGAUCAAGUCCUAUGAAAGGAAGCAGUAUUAGGUAGAAGAAGGUAAAUACAUUACUUGCUGACCUAAACAUCAGUCCACCCUGUCAGGAGCUCUGAAACAAUUAUUGCCUGUCAGAGUAUCCCUUUUUGAGUCAAGUGGUCAACUCUCUCUUUAUACCCCCACCUUGCUUAGUCAGCAGAUGGGGACUGCCCCGGGGAAUUCAUGGCCUAAGAGAGGUGGUUCUCAGCAGCUGUGCCAGACCUUACUAGCAGCUGGAGGAUGCUGCUGACUGUGGUGUCCACUGUCGGGCAACAAGCCCUUGCUGGAAGAGGGAUCUGGAUGGUGCAUCUCUGUGUCUAUCACCCCUGGAAAGAGUGACUGGAGUGAGUCAGAAAAAGAGAAUCAGGAAAUACCAAUAUUUAAGGGAUAGAUAGGGAAAGUAGAGAAAGAAUCUACUUGAAGGAGGCUGAGCAAAUGAAGUCAAAGGAAAUAGAUAUCCAUGACACUCAUCUCACAGAAGCUUAUGGAAGAGGUUUUUUUGUCUUUUUUUUUUAGUGCUGCACUCAAGGUGUAUGGAGUUUCCCAGGCUAGGAGUCCAACCGGAGCUGUAGCCGCUGGCCUACACAUCAGCCAGAGCAAGGCCAGAUCCUUAACCCACUGAACAAGGCCAGGGAUCGAACCCGAGUCCUCAUCGAUGCUAGUCAGGUCCAUUAACUGCUGAGCCACAACAGGAACUCUGAUGUGUUUUGAUAGAACAAAAAAAAAAAAAA